GUGGUUGUGGCUCAGGGGUAGAGCGCUCGCCUAGCAUGUGUGAGGCACUGGGUUCAAUCCUCAGCACCACA
rnacentral:tRNA from 1 species